GGCCUUUUGUAUUAAAUUUUAGGUCUGACCUGCCCAGUGAUUAUUUUAACGGCCGCAGUAAUUUGACUGUGCUAAGGUAGCAUAAUCAUUAGUUUUUUAAUUAAAAACUGGAAUGAAAGGUUGAAUGAGAGAAAAACUGUCUCUAUAUAAAAUUUUGAAUUUAACCUUUAAGUGCAAAGGCUUAAAUUUUAUUAAAAGACGAGAAGACCCUUUAGAGUUUUAGAUAAAAUUUAUAUUAUACUUUUUAGUAUAUAUAUGUUGUUUAAAUUUUAUUUUUGAUUGGGGUGAUUAUUAAAUUUAUUUAACUUUAAUUUUUAUAAACAUAUAUUAAUGAUUAAUUGAUCCAUAAAAAUGAUUAUUAGUUAAAUUACCUAAGGGAUAACAGCGUAAUUUUUUUGGAGAGUUCAUAUCGAUAAAAAAGAUUGCGACCUCGAUGUUGGAUUAAAAUAUGUAGUUAGGUGUAGAAGCUAAUUAACUUGGUCUGUUCGACCAUUAAAAUUUUACA
rnacentral:rRNA from 1 species